rnacentral:rRNA from 2 species
UAAGCAUAUCAAUAUGCGGAGGAAAAGAAACCAACAGGGAUUGCCCUAGUAACGGCGAGUGAAGCGGCAAGAGCUCAAAUUUGAAAUCUGGCCCUCUCAGGGUCCGAGUUGUAAUUUGUAGAGGGCGCUUUGGCGUCGGCUACGGCCUAAGUUCCUUGGAACAGGACGUCACAGAGGGUGAGAACCCCGUACGUGGCCGCUGGCCUUCGCCGUGUAAAGCCCCUUCGACGAGUCGAGUUGUUUGGGAAUGCAGCUCUAAAUGGGAGGUAAAUUUCUUCUAAAGCUAAAUACUGGCCAGAGACCGAUAGCGCACAAGUAGAGUGAUCGAAAGAUGAAAAGCACUUUGGAAAGAGAGUCAAAAAGCACGUGAAAUUGUUGAAAGGGAAGCGCUUGCAGCCAGACUUGCCUGUAGUUGCUCACCCGAGCCACCGGCUCGGUGCACUCUUCUGCGGGCAGGCCAGCAUCAGUCCGGGCGGUCGGAUAAAGGCCUCGGGAAUGUAGCUCCCCUCGGGGAGUGUUAUAGCCCGGGGUGCCAUGCGACCAGCCUGGACUGAGGUCCGCGCAUCUGCUAGGAUGCUGGCGUAAUGGCUGUAAGCGGCCCGUCUUGAAACACGGACCAAGGAGUCUAACAUCUAUGCGAGUGUUUGGGUGUCAAGCCCGGGCGCGCAAUGAAAGUGAACGGAGGUGGGAACCCCUCGGGGCGCACCAUCGACCGAUCCUGAUGUCUUCGGAUGGAUUUGAGUAAGAGCAUAGCUGUUGGGACCCGAAAGAUGGUGAACUAUGCCUGAAUAGGGUGAAGCCAGAGGAAACUCUGGUGGAGGCUCGCAGCGGUUCUGACGUGCAAAUCGAUCGUCAAAUUUGGGCAUAGGGGCGAAAGACUAAUCGAACUAUCUAGUAGCUGGUUCCUGCCGAAG